GCUGUUGCAAGCAUGAGGAAGACGGCUGCUGCAUUCCAGAUAAAUUUGCGCAGGAAGAGAAGAGGAGAAAAGAACGACGGCUGCUAGAAGAGAGGUAACGGAUGUAGACGACGUGAGUGUCCAUGAUUUUAAUCAAAGAGGUUACCAAGUAAUGGAGUGUUCUUGUUCGUUUUAGCGAGUGGCCUAUUCUCUGCUUUUCCAUAUCAGCUAAUCCCCGUC
rnacentral:lncRNA from 1 species